rnacentral:rRNA from 1 species
UCCUCCCUCUUUCCUCGUGCUUAACACAUGCAAGUCGAACGGAAAGGCCCUGCUUGCAGGGUACUCGAGUGGCGAACGGGUGAGUAACACGUGGGUGAUCUGCCCUGCACUUCGGGAUAAGCCUGGGAAACUGGGUCUAAUACCGGAUAGGAGCCAUUUUUAGUGUGAUGGUUGGAAAGUUUUUUCGGUGUAGGAUGAGCUCGCGGCCUAUCAGCUUGUUGGUGGGGUGAUGGCCUACCAAGGCGGCGACGGGUAGCCGGCCUGAGAGGGUGGACGGCCACAUUGGGACUGAGAUACGGCCCAGACUCCUACGGGAGGCAGCAGUGGGGAAUAUUGCACAAUGGGCGCAAGCCUGAUGCAGCGACGCCGCGUGGGGGAUGACGGCCUUCGGGUUGUAAACUCCUUUCGCUAGGGACGAAGCUUUUUGUGACGGUACCUAGAUAAGAAGCACCGGCUAACUACGUG